rnacentral:rRNA from 1 species
UGAUUCCUACGGGGCGCAGCAGUGGGGGAUAUUGCACAAUGGGGGGAACCCUGAUGCAGCGACGCCGCGUGGGUGAAGGAGCGUUUCGGCGCGUAAAGCCCUAUCGGCAGGGAAGAAGAUGACGGUACCUGACCAAGAAGCCCCGGCUAACUACGUGCCAGCAGCCGCGGUAAUACGUAGGGGGCAAGCGUUAUCCGGAUUUACUGGGUGUAAAGGGGGCGUAGACGGCGAUGCAAGCCAGAUGUGAAAGCCCGGGGCUCAACCCCGGGACUGCAUUUGGGACUGGAUAGCUAGAGUGCCGGAGG